rnacentral:rRNA from 1 species
UAAUACGGGAGGCAGCAGUGGGGAAUAUUGCACAAUGGGCGCAAGCCUGAUGCAGCCAUGCCGCGUGUGUGAAGAAGGCCUUCGGGUUGUAAAGCACUUUCAGUCGUGAGGAAGGUGGUGUAGUUAAUAGCUGCAUUAUUUGACGUUAGCGACAGAAGAAGCACCGGCUAACUCCGUGCCAGCAGCCGCGGUAAUACGGAGGGUGCGAGCGUUAAUCGGAAUUACUGGGCGUAAAGCGCAUGCAGGUGGUUUGUUAAGUCAAAUGUGAAAGCCCGGGGCUCAACCUCGGAAUAGCAUUUGAAACUGGCAGACUAAAGUACUGUAGAGGGGGGUAGAAUUUCAUGUGUAGCGGUGAAAUGCGUAAAAAUCUGAAGGAAUACCGGUGGCGAAAGCGGCCCCCUGGACAGAUACUGACACUCCAAUGCGAAAGCGUGGGGAGCAAACAGGAUUAAAUACCCUGGUAGUCCCCCCCCAAAACAAAUCCUACUGGAAGGUGUGGCCUUGAG